rnacentral:rRNA from 1 species
GACGAACGCUGGCGGCGUGCUUAACACAUGCAAGUCGUACGGUAAGGCCCUUUCGGGGGUACACGAGUGGCGAACGGGUGAGUAACACGUGAGUAACCUGCCCACAACUUUGGGAUAACGCUAGGAAACUGGUGCUAAUACUGGAUAUGUGCUCCGGCUGCAGGGGGGGGGUUGGAAGGCCCCGGCGGUUUUGGAUGGACCCGCGGCCUAUCAGCUUGUGGGUGGGGUAGUGGCCUACCAAGGCGGCGACGGGUAGCCGGCCUGAGAGGGUGACCGGCCACAUUGGGACUGAGAUACGGCCCAGACUCCUACGGGAGGCAGCAGUGGGGAAUAUUGCACAAUGGGCGCAAGCCUGAUGCAGCAACGCCGCGUGCGGGAUGACGGCCUUCGGGUUGUAAACCGCUUUCAGCAGGGACGAAGCUUUUUGUGACGGUACCUGCAGAAGAAGCACCGGCUAACUACGUG